UACGAGGGGGGCUAGCGUUGCUCGGAAUUACUGGGCGUAAAGCGCACGUAGGCGGCUUUCUAAGUCGGGGGUGAAAUCCUGGAGCUCAACUCCAGAACUGCCUUCGAUACUGGAGAGCCCGAGUCCGGGAGAGGUGAGUGGAACUGCGAGUGUAGAGGUGAAAUUCGUAGAUAUUCGCAAGAACACCAGUGGCGAAGGCGGCUCACUGGCCCGGUACUGACGCUGAGGUGCGAAAGCGUGGGGAGCAAACAGG
rnacentral:rRNA from 1 species